rnacentral:rRNA from 1 species
UACAGAGGCCUCGAGCGUUAAUCGGAAUCACUGGGCUUAAAGGGUGCGUAGGCGGCGCUGCAAGUGCCUUGUGAAAUCCCAUCGCUUAACGAUGGAACUGCUCGGUAGACUGCAGUGCUUGAGGUUGGUAGGGGCUGCCGGAACUCUAGGUGGAGCGGUGAAAUGCGUAGAUAUCUGGAGGAAUACCGGUGGCGAAGGCGGCAUCCUGGACCAUUACUGACGCUGAGGCGCGAAAGCUAGGGGAGCAAACGGG